UAAGUAGGCGGUGGAAAAUGAACCAAAUGGGAUUCCUUAAGUAAUUGCGAAUGAACAAGGAAAUGCUCAGCUUGAAAAAUGGGGCCUUCGGCUUUGAAUUGUAAUUUUGAAAUGUAUUGCCAAUGGAGGCGCAGGUGCAAGCCUAUUGAAAGAAAGCGUCAAUGAGGGUGAGAUUCCUUUUUGUCAUUUGCAGUCCUCCGUGCACGGUAUAUAUUUGACGAGUCACACUCCUCGGCAUUGGAAUGCAAAGUGGGUGGUAAAUUCCAUGUAAAGGUAAAUAUAUUAUUGAGACUGAUAGCAAACAAGUACCAUGAGGGAAAUAUGAAAAGGACUUUGAAAAGAGAAUUAAAAGAGUCUGCAUUUGCUGAACAGAAAGCAAACAGAAUUGAUCUUGCCUGGUGAGAUUGUUGCGUCUACUUCUGCAUUUCUAUGUUGGAUGUGGGUGCGAUGGUUCUUGCCUUGAAUGUCAGCUUCUUUUUCUGCAAAUCAUUACCCUUGCACAUGAAUGGUAAUUUGCCUGCGGGUAUUGGAAUGCAUGUGUUUGCCAUGAUUUGUGAUUUGAUACAUGUGUCUGGUGGUACUUGUGUGUGUUCCUUUGUCAAAGGGGAARNUUUGCUUCCUUGAGCACCACAAGCCCUUGCAC
rnacentral:rRNA from 1 species